rnacentral:lncRNA from 1 species
CAAAAACAAAAUCCCAACACAAAAAUUUGACUAUAGUGCUGCCUGACCUAUAUGAGUGGAGGAAUAACUCCUAGAGGAGAUGCAUUUUGAGAUGAAUUUUGAAUGAGCUGGGGAACAUGGGUUCAUAGCAUGGAAAGGGGAAUUCACUAUAGGGAGAGUAAACAGCCUGUGCAGAGAGGCAGAACAGAAACAAGUUAGUUAUAUGAGAAGCAGCAAAGAGUAUCAAGAAACUAGGCAGGUAAGAGAACAGAAACCUAGAAGGUCACAGCAAAACCUUUGGAUUUGAUACAGAAGGCAUUAGAAUUAGCAAGCGUUCUUUUUUUAUCUUUCCAACUUUCAUUUUAGGUUCAGGGGGUACAUGUGCACUUUGUAACAUGGGUGAGUUGCAUGUCGCAGGGGUUUGGUGUACAGAUUAUUUUGUCACCCAGGUAAUGAGCAUAGUACCCAAUAGGUAGUUCUGAUCCUCACCCACCUCCCACCCUCCACCCUCAAGUAGGCCCAGGUGUCUGUUACCCCUUCUUUGUUUCUAUGUGUAUUCAAUGUUUGGCUCCCACUUUUAAGUAAGAACAUGCAGUAUUUGGUUUUCUAAUUCACUUAGGAUGAUGGCCUCUAGCUCUAUGUUUUUGCAAAGGAUGUGAUCUCGUUCUUUUUUAUGGCGACAUAGUAUUCCAUGAUGUAUAUGUACCACAUUUUCUUUAUCCAAUCCACCAUUGAUGAGCAUUGAGGUUGAUUCCAUGUCUUUGCUAUUGUAAAUAGUGCUGCAGUGAGCAUAACACAUGCAUGUGUCUUUAUGGUAGAAUGAUUUCUGUUUCUUUGGGCAUAUUCCCAGUAAUAGGAUUACUGGGUUGAAUGGUAGUUUUGCUUUAAGUUCUUUAAGAAAUCUCUAAACUGUUUUCCACAGUGGCUGAACUAAUUUAUAUUUCCCACCAGCAGUGUAUAAGUGUUCUGUUUUCUUUGCAGCCUCACCAGCAUCUGUUAUUUUUUAACUUUUUAAUACCAGCCAUUCUGACUGGUGUGAGAUGGUAUGUCACUGUGAUUUUGAUUUGCAUUUCUCUAAUGAUUAGUGACAUUGAACAUUUUUUAUAUGCUUGUUGGCCAUGUGUAUGUCUUCUUUUGAGAAGUGUGUGUUCAUGUCCUUUGCCCAUUUUUUAAUAGGGUUUUUUGGUUUUUGCUUGUUAAUUUAUUUAAGUUCCUUAUAGAUUCUGGAUAUUAGUUCCUUAUAUAGAUUCUGGAUAUUAGACCUCUGUUGGAUGCAGUUUGCAAAUAUUUUCUCCCAUUCUGUAAGUUGUCCGUCUAUUCUGUUGAUAGUUUCUUUUGCUGUGGAGAAGCUCUUUAGUUUAAUUAAGUCUCACUUGUCAAUUUUCGUUUUAUUGCAGUUGCUUUUAGAGUCUUUACCAGGAAAUCUUUGCCAAGGCCUACGUCCAGAAUGGUAUUUCUGAGGUUUUCUUCUAGGGUUUUUGUAAAAAGAUGGAAUGCGCCCAGGCGCGGUUGCUUACGCCUGUAAUCCCAGCACUUUGGGAGACCAAGGCGGAUGGAUCACCUGAGGUCAGGAGUUCGAGACCAGCCUGGCCAACAUGGUGAAACCCCAUCUCUACUAAAAACAUAAAAAUUAGCCAGGCGUGGUGGCG